CGGACAUUGCCGCGCGGGUGCUGGCGCCGGGCGCGAAACCCGAUGCGCGGCGGCAGGCGGUCGAGACGUUCUUCGAAUCCCGCCUGUCCGCG
rnacentral:tRNA from 1 species